rfam:Rhizobium oryzae strain 1.7048 scaffold11, whole genome shotgun sequence.
GUGUUAUCCCGUGGUGAUUUGGCCGGCCGGCUUGCAGCCACGUUAAACAAGUUGCUAAAGGGCCGUGGGCUGUUUGAA